CAGGGUUUAAAGUGUAACUUUCAAAAGUUACAGGGGGUGUUUUGUAAGAUUCAAAACUUAGGUACAACAACUUCACCACCUUCAAAACUUCGGUGACCAAACAGCAAUUUGCCGUCGGCCACCAUACUAACUCGCCGGAAACCUCGUUCCCGGCCUCCCCGAGCUCCCACAAACUCCAGAUAGCAUAUUUGGAAUACCAUAAACGUAAAACCGCCCUCAGAUUCAUCAGAAGCGGCCAUAUUUGGCCAUAGAAUGCAAAACAAAACUCGCCGCCGGCGACUUCCUUUUGAACUCCGGCGAGCCAUUUCCAGACAUCCCACAUAACUGUUGAACAUACACACAAGUUCCUCUCAUCACGCUCUUUCUAAUGAUAUAGAUCACAAUAGCCCAGAAUUUCUAGAUUAAAAACGCCUCUUUUUCAAUUAAGAAAAUUCAUAAACCUCCAAGAACAUUCAAGAACACAACUCCGAGAAUUAAACCAACGUUUCUAUAUGUUAUCGAAGUCAAAAUUCGACAUAUAAUAUACCAAAACGACGAGAAAAACAUGCUCUACAACAUAGAAUCAUCAAAACAACCAAAUAAUAUCAUUUACAAAAAUUCAUCCUUUAAAUCAAAAUAGCUCGAAUUUUGUAAAAUUUAUGUAAAAUCACCUGAUAAAUCUGCAUACAAACGGGUGAUUAAACAUGAUUCUACGCGUCGAUAGCUUCGUUUUGACUAUUCGUACACCUCCAUCGGAUUCCAAUAACACCUCCAAAUCCUCGUUUGAUUAUGAAGAACACGAAGAACACCGCUCGGUUUCUCUCGGUAUUUGUGAAAAGAAACUGGUGAAAAUGAUUUCUACGGUGAAAAUCAGCUAUAGAAAAGUCUAUUUAUAUUUACAAAUACUUGGUACCCCUUUGGAUCGUUUAUGACAUGAAAAUACGUAUUUAAUAGCUUUAUAUUAAUAAAGCGGGGUCCAAUCGGUACUGGUUUUCAAGAUAAUCAUCAAAACGGGGCUUUUUAAUCAGUCAUUAGUAUGCGGGUCCCACUGCAAUUAUUACAAGAUAAGGAUGAAUCAAAAUAUCUAGUUUCACGUUUAUCGAGACAACCAGAU
rnacentral:lncRNA from 1 species